rnacentral:rRNA from 1 species
UGCUAAGCAGCUAGCCCACCUAAUCAACAACAACAACCCAAGAUUAAUACCCCCUAAAAUACUAGACACACCAUGACCAAACCAUUUUUCCCCCUUAGUAUGUGCGACAGAAAAGGGACUCGGAGCGAUAGAAGAAGUACCGCAAGGGAACGCUGAAAGAGAAAUGAAACAACUCAAUAAUAAGGCCCUAAGAAGCAGAGAUCACCCCUCGUACCUUUUGCAUCAUGAUUUAGCUAGUGGCCCCCAAGCAAAGAGCCCUUUAGUUUGAAAACCCGAAACUGAGUGAGCUACUCCAAGACAGCCUAAAUAUAGGGCAAACCCGUCUCUGUGGCAAAAGAGUGGGAAGAGCUUUGAGUAGAGGUGACAGACCUAACGAACUUAGUUAUAGCUGGUUGCCCAAGAAAUGAAUAGGAGUUCAGCCUCCCGGCUUCUUUAUUCACCCAUAGCCUUGCAGCCUUACAGAUACAGAGAACACCGUGAGAGUUAGUCAUAGGGGGUACAGCCCCUUUGAAUCAAGACACAACUUUUCCAGGAGGGUAAAGAUCAUAGUCACCAAGGCAAAAUGUCCCGGUGGGCCUGAAAGCAGCCACCCGAAAAUGAAAGCGUUAUAGCUCAGACAUAUUUACCACCCCUAGAUCCCGAUAAUUUAAUCUUAUCCCCCUACCUUUAAUGGGCCGCCCCAUGCACACAUGGGAGCGAUUAUGCUAAUAUGAGUAAUAAGAGAGCUUACCGCCUCUCUCUCUGCACAAGUGUAAAUCGGAACAGACCACCUACCGAAUUUUAACGGCCCCAACCCACAGAGGGUACUGGGACUAUCAAAAUAAUCAACUAGAAAAUCACCCAACAGCACCACCGUUAACCCCACACAGGAGUGCUUCCAGAGAAAGACUGAAAGAAAAAGAAGGAACUCGGCAAACACAUCUUAGCCUCGCCUGUUUACCAAAAACAUCGCCUCUUGCAACACUUAAAAGUAUAAGAGGUCCCGCCUGCCCUGUGACUAUAUGUUCAACGGCCGCGGUAUUUUGACCGUGCGAAGGUAGCGCAAUCACUUGUCUCAUAAUUGGAGACCUGUAUGAAUGGCAUAACGAGGGCUUGACUGUCUCCUUUUUCAGGUCAAUGAAAUUGAUUCUCCCGUGCAGAAGCGGGAAUAAAAACAUAAGACGAGAAGACCCUAUGGAGCUUUAGACACUAAAGUAGAUCAUCUUAAACCCCCUAGUAACAGGGCACAAGCUUAAUGAAUACUACCCGAAUGUCUUUGGUUGGGGCGACCGCGGAGUAGAUAAAGAACCUCCGCAUGGACUGGGCAUACGAUUCCCACAGCUAAGAGCCGCAGCUCGAGCCAACAGUACUUCUGACCUGCGCGAUCCGGCAACGCCGAUUAAUGGACCGAGUUACCCUAGGGAUAACAGCGCAAUCCCCUUUUAGAGCCCAUAUCGACAAGGGGGUUUACGACCUCGAUGUUGGAUCAGGACAUCCUAAUGGUGCAGCCGCUAUUAAGGGUUCGUUUGUUCAACGAUUAAAGUCCUACGUGAUCUGAGUUCAGACCGGAGCAAUCCAGGUCAGUUUCUAUCUAUGACAUGUUCUUUUCUAGUACGAAAGGACCGAAAAGGAAAGGCCUAUGCUUCAAGUACGCCUCACCCCCACCUAGUGAACACAACUGAAGCAGAUAAGAGGGCAUACCUCUCUUGCCGGAGAGCACGGCAAA